UGGAGUUUCUGCCUCCUAACUUUGUAGUACAAACUGGUGAAUCAUCACAGAUCUUUCAGUGUUACCUUUAGGGAAACAGGGAACUACCUUCAAAAAUCUUCUAUUAUAGGCACCUAACAGUAAAGAUUGUAUUCAACCCGCUGGAACAUGUCCUCUCUUCUAUAAACGUCUUAAAGUUCAUUAGCGUAUCUUCGAUCCUUGUGGCAGACUUUGUUUGAGGAUAUCUGGGUCGCUAUUUUAUACUUACGGACUUCUAUUAAUCUUUUGUAAACAUUUGCGGUAAAGUUUCCCAGAACAUCUUCUAUGUAAGUACUAGUGUCUAAAUUUGAGUGUUCCGUGGAUCCUAAGCAGAGCUCGAACGUAAGGAGAACCAAAAAACUGAAAUUCUUCAAACCACAGUGCACUUUAUCAAGAAUUAAAUUGAUUUAUACACCAAUCUUUAGGAACCUUUAGCACAAGCUGGUUUAUUCUGCUUCAGAGAUUCGGAACAAAACUGUACUUUGCACUACUUUUUGUGAAGAACACUGUAAGCAUAAGUAAUAUUAAAACUGAAUAUGUGGUUAGAGUCGAGAAUAAACAAGGUCUGCAAGAGUUGAGACUGGUAUUUAAAACGUACAUUUGGGGUCAGGUAGAGUGGCAAGAAAGUGCCUUCCUGCUUGCUUCUAUUCUUGUGAGGUACCUGGUAAGUCAAAGAUGAACUGCACUAGGUAUACAGUAAACAAUAAUUAAUUUUCUUUUACUUCAGCAAAGCAUGUGUAUAAUAUCGUAUUUCAUUUUCACAUAGUAUGUCUUAGAUUAUGUUUUUGCAGGUUCUAGAAGAAGAUACAAAAUAAAGGAAUAUGUUGUUAAAGAAAUAACUGGAUAUUCAUAUUUUUAGAAAAUGAUACUGCAUGAGUUCAUUUAAAUACAAUUGAGAGACAGAUUGAAGACUGCAAGAACUGACCGGGUUCUAAACACAUGCAGUUAUCUGGGGUGCAAUAACAAUUCACUACCAGAGCUGUAUCUUUCCCUCACAGCAAAAAGACAGGGUAGUUCUGUGUUUGUACAAAGCUUUGAACUACCUUCUCGC